CGGACGCGACGUAUUUGUCGGCGGAUACAGCGGGUCUUCUAUUCUUCUUCCCCUCUUUCUCAACGUGCCUCUAUCCUACGAGUACAUCCCUGUUCGCCGGAAGUAAGGACCUCGUCGAGGGAGUCAGCAGCCGCAAGGAGAUAAAUCUCCGAGGGCUACUUCAAUGCUGGAAAAGUGUCAUAUUCGUCUCUCAUCGUAAUUUUGUUCCGUCGUAAUAUCAUAAAAUGCAGGUCGCGAGUGUCGUUAAUGACGGGAGUGCCGUGAGAGUUCCGCGCGAGUACGCAACGUUGAGUUCUAACGAAUCGUAACGAUCGGAUUUCCGAUGAAUAUAGUAACAAAUACUGGAACACGAUGAUAUCUCCAUCAAAAGGGCUCGGUUCGGAGGAGGGAAGAAUCGUCUUUUGGCGAUUAUCUUGGGAUCAUCGCGAAUGGGCCCCUUCAGUUAUCGCACGUGUUAGAACAUAUGAUUCAUGUGUAAUGCAUGAUAUCACCUAGAGUGAUCAUAUGAUCCGCGGCUAUAAGUUAGUUAUUGCUGACUGCAGUUCCGCUGGUAUUGAGACGAAGAUACUGCUGCGGUACCCGAUAUUUCGGUUGAUCUCAUGAUUGAUCCUACCUUGUCUUCUUCGUACUUAAUCUUUUUUUGCGAGAUACCUGUGCUCCAAUCUGGCAAGUCCGAUUGUUCAAAACGCGAGUGGAAUUCGCGAAUAACGUCGCUUCUUGGACUAUUCGGUUCGAUUCGCUUGCGACGUCGUCCGGGAGUGUCGUUUAAAGUGUCGCGCGAUUUUUGUAUCUGAGUGCGCUCGCGAGCAAUGCGAGUAUAAACGCGUGUGAGUGUUAUGAAGAAGCAGAAAGGUCAGAGAGCAUCGGCGAUGUCGCAAUAACAUUGUGAUUAUCAGUUUACUUUUGUGAACGCGGCCGUCGAGAUCGGGUGGUGCCUACGGCGCAGCAGUGAUAACCUGCUGGAUGACUGGAAUGACUUAUUGGAUAAUCUACUAGAUAACCUGAA